CCUUAUACGAUGAUUAUUCACGAUGAGUGUCCACACAGAUUGAUAGUUCACAAGCGCAAGCUUGUAGCUAACAUAGCUCUUUAACAAUUUGGAAAGCUGACAAAACAACAAUUUAUUGUUGUUUGUAAAGUUCUCAAUGUUUGUCUUUAAGACAAACACCAAAAUAACACAUUCAAGUGUUCUUGGAAUUUGAGUCCGGCAAAAUCGAGUCUGCAUCAUGUAUAAAAAUUGCAGACAACUUUGGUGACUUGUUCAUCAACUCGAAACUCCUUCGGGUUGUAU
rnacentral:misc_RNA from 1 species